CUGCUGUCAGUUAUGAUGCACUGAGAAAACUUCAGAGACCUAAACUUUUUCCAGAGAAGAGAAGCUUUACUGGUGUUCCAGCCCUAAGAAACUUAAAUCCUCAGUGUGACACAACUCAGUCCUUCUACUGCAGCAGCUCUUUUAUAAAUGCCUCCCAAAGCUCCAAGAAGGAACAAAGAAUGUGACCCAGUAAGAUCACACCAUGAGUCUAUAUUGCAGAAACCUUUGUUCAACAAAACUGCAGAUGCUCUGUUGAAUCCACUGGAGAUUGUUCUGAUACUAAGGACAAGUAUCAAACAUCUUUCCUGUGAAAAAUUCCCUCUCCUAGUACUUUAGUUCUGUGGAUCCAAAAUUUAUAGCAUUCUUCUACCACCACAGGGGCUCAUAUGACAUUAACAGACAAGACACUUUUCAGAAAGACAGGUUGUUCUUUUGGGCCACAUCUAAGAAAUCUUUGUCUAGCCAAAAGCCACAAAUAAUUUCUCAUUUUUUGGCUUCUGGAAGAUGUACAGUUAAAUGUUAUAUUUGGGACUGUUAUCUAAUUUGGUUAAAUUGCACUCUACAAUAUGGUAUUUGAAUUGAUGAAAAAUUAGUAAAUGUUAAUAUUUUUUAAAGUAGCCAAAUCUUGCAAUUUAUAUAUAAUAGAGAAGACUAGAAAAUCCCCCAUAUUUAUUUCCUCUUACUUCGUACUACUAAAAUUUGUAUUUAGGCAUUUGGUUUCUCAGAUAAACAUUACAUUCCCCAGUAUAUGGUUCUAUCUGGCUUGGUGACGACAUGUUGAACAUUAAGAUGUGAGCAGAAGUAAUACAUACACACUCUUUUUCAUGUCUUUAAUUGAAUGGGAUAUUGGCCCAUUUUUUCUUCCAGUUUAUUACACUGAAUAUUGACAUGUUAUUUUCCAAUAUUGAGACAAUCAAUGACAAGACUUUAAGAGUAACAAUGUAAAAAUACAGAAGUUGUCUGAGUUUAUCAACAAUCCCCUGGAUUAGAACCCCCUACCAGUUCUAGGUCAUCUAAUAUAUAGACAUUGUGUUCAGUAGAAAUAAAUAUAUAUAUUUUUUAUUAUGCUUUAAGUUCUAGGAUACAUG
rnacentral:lncRNA from 1 species